rnacentral:siRNA from 1 species
AAAUUUACAAAGUCAUUCAGAUGG